rfam:Myotis davidii contig65597, whole genome shotgun sequence.
GGUAGUUCUCAGGUGAUGCAUCCCAGAAUCAGGCUUCCUCCUCUCUGGUUCUGGGUGCGUCACUUGAAAACCACA